rnacentral:lncRNA from 1 species
CAGAGAGUUGGUAGAUUCCAUGUGCAAGCAGGAAAAUGUACUAAGUAGUUGGUAAGCUAAAUAGGAUGAAAGACAUGCUGACCAGGCUGAAUAAGGCUAAGUUUAGUGAUAUUGAGCUAAGGGAGGAAGAUGGCCUCAAGGUCUUGGAGGAACUUCAAACCAAAUUACAUGCUGACCCUAAGAAUCCAAAGUUGAUUGAUCAAGAAAGAC